CUUAUUCCAUGGGAUCCAUUAAUAUUUGGGUAACUAGACAAGGGUAUUUAGCAAUCCAGGGAUGCAGAUGCUGUGAAAUGGCUCAGUCAGAGAAUGCAAUGGAAGGUUGGACUGAAAUCAUCUGAUACCAUCCACGAAGGGGGUCUAGAGCUCAUUAUCAUUUUCUAAAUUUUUUGCCAAAGGGAAGUUCAGUUCCAUAUCUCUUGCUUUUCUUUUUGCUUAUCCUUGUUUUUCUACACACCUCACUGGCUGCUCCUUCUCAGCCUCCUUUGAUAAUUCCUCUGCACCUCCCAGAUCUUUAAACACGGGUAUGUUUCAGGACUCAGUUCUCUCACACAGGUGAUCUCUUUGUAUUCUGCAGCUUUAAAUGUGACCACUAACUUUAAAAUUCCUAAAUUUAUAUUUCCAGUGUGAAUUUCUCUCUGGAACUGGAAAUGCAUAUCUUCAUUUCUUGCCGCCAUCUUCCAGUAAUUCGCCAAAAUGACGAACACAAAGGGAAAGAGGAGAGGCACCCGAUAUAUGUUCUCUAGGCCUUUUAGAAAACAUGGAGUUGUUCCUUUGGCCACAUAUAUGCGAAUCUAUAAGAAAGGUGAUAUUGUAGACAUCAAGGGAAUGGGUACUGUUCAAAAAGGAAUGCCCCACAAGUGUUACCAUGGCAAAACUGGAAGAGUCUACAAUGUUACCCAGCAUGCUGUUGGCAUUGUUGUAAACAAACAAGUUAAGGGCAAGAUUCUUGCCAAGAGAAUUAAUGUGCGUAUUGAGCACAUUAAGCACUCUAAGAGCCGAGAUAGCUUCCUGAAACGUGUGAAGGAAAAUGAUCAGAAAAAGAAAGAAGCCAAAGAGAAAGGUACCUGGGUUCAACUAAAGCGCCAGCCUACUCCACCCAGAGAAGCACACUUUGUGAGAACCAAUGGGAAGGAGCCUG
rnacentral:lncRNA from 1 species